rnacentral:rRNA from 1 species
AUUGAACGCUGGCGGCAUGCCUUACACAUGCAAGUCGAACGGCAGCGGACCUUCGGGUGCCGGCGAGUGGCGAACGGGUGAGUAAUGCAUCGGAACGUACCUUUCAGUGGGGGAUAACGUAGCGAAAGUUACGCUAAUACCGCAUAUUCUGUGAGCAGGAAAGCAGGGGAUCGCAAGACCUUGCGCUGAUUGAGCGGCCGAUGUCAGAUUAGCUAGUUGGUUAGGUAAAGGCUCACCACGGCGACGAUAUGUAGCGGGUCUGAGAGGAUGAUCCGCCACACUGGGACUGAGCACCGGCCCAGACUCCUACGGGAGGCAGAAGUGGGGAAUAUUGGAGAAUGGGGGCAACCCUGAUCCAGCCAUGCCGCGUGAGUGAAGAAGGCCUUCGGGUUGUAAAGCUCUUUCGGCCGGGAAGAAAUCGCACAGGCUAAUACCUUGUGUGGAUGACGGUACCGGAAUAAGAAGCACCGGCUAACUACGUGCCAGCCGCCGCAGUAAGAC